AUUAUAGAUUGAGAGGUAUAAAUUGCGAGAUAAGAAUAGAGAUUUUGACCGACUGUCCCAAUCGCAAGUGGCAAAAGAUUUGGUAGUUGAUAUCCGAGGUUCCGAGUUCGAAUUCUAAUUGAUUCACAUUUUCAGCUAAGUUUAAUACUAAAUAAAAUAAAUGAAGCGGAUAACAUACUAUUUAUUUCCCAGAAAAAAAAAAAGAAUAAAGAUUUUGUUAUUCGGUUGAUUUU
rnacentral:lncRNA from 1 species